GGUCCAGCCUGCCCGGUGACAAAGUUUAACGGCCGCGGUACCCUAACCGUGCGAAGGUAGCAUAAUCACUUGUUCUUUAAAUAGGGACUAGUAUCAACGGCAUCACGAGGGUUACACUGUCUCCUUUCCCCAAUCAGUGAAACUGAUCUCCCCGUGAAGAAGCGGGGAUAUAAAUAUAAGACGAGAAGACCCCAUGGAGCUUUAAGCUCAACAACACCUCGCUACAAAUAUAUCACUGUAACCCACGAGCCCUGUCUGUUAGCUUUAGGUUGGGGUGACCGCGGAGUAUAAUAUAACCUCCACGACGAAUAGGCCUAAGACCUCUAUCCAAGAGCCACUGCUCUAAGAAUCAUUAAAUUGACGUAAAAUGAUCCGAUUUUCGAUCAACGAACCAAGUUACCCUGGGGAUAACAGCGCAAUCCAUUUCAAGAGCCCCUAU
rnacentral:rRNA from 1 species